GGUGGUGUAUCAUGCUGAUCGAAAAUCUUGACCUUGGAAGCAAUGGCAAACUCUUUGCCCACUGUACCGACGCAUCUAAGGCUCUUCUUCGGGGUGAGGUGCCACCAGUUUUUAAACUGAAGAUGAGAAGGCGAGAUGACAUUCAUGAGAUCAGCCGACUAAAAAGAGACAGAGAAACCCAAUGUCGGAGGAACAGAAGAAGAGAAAAGGGAGACAGACCGACAGAGAGGCCAGACACGAGUAAACGUUGGGCAAGCUUUUCAGGAAUCGCGUGAACUGAAAGAAAAAGAAGACUGCAAAUCAGACGCCGACUCGGCCGUGUUGCUUUUGAAAUUGAAAGUACCCUUGGG
ensembl:lncRNA